GCGUCAGUGGUUUAGUGGUAAAAUCCAUCGUUGCCAACAAGUAUCGAUGGGCCCCGUGUUCGAUUCACGGCUGACGCA